rnacentral:rRNA from 1 species
AAAGCGGGUGAAAAGCCCGCUCGCCGGAAGACCAAGGGUUCCUGUCCAACGUUAAUCGGGGCAGGGUGAGUCGACCCCUAAGGCGAGGCCGAAAGGCGUAGUCGAUGGGAAACGGGUUAAUAUUCCCGUACUUGGUGUUACUGCGAAGGGGGGACGGAGAAGGCUAUGUUGGCCGGGCGACGGUUGUCCCGGUUUAAGCGUGUAGGUGUGUGUUCCAGGUAAAUCCGGUUCACUUUAACACUGAGGCGUGACGACGAGGCACUACGGUGCUGAAGCAACAAAUGCCCUGCUUCCAGGAAAAGCCUCUAAGCAUCAGGUAACAUCAAAUCGUACCCCAAACCGACACAGGUGGUCAGGUAGAGAAUACCAAGGCGCUUGAGAGAACUCGGGUGAAGGAACUAGGCAAAAUGGUGCCGUAACUUCGGGAGAAGGCACGCUGACACGUAGGUGAAGUGAUUUACUCAUGGAGCUGAAGUCAGUCGAAGAUACCAGCUGGCUGCAACUGUUUAUUAAAAACACAGCACUGUGCAAACACGAAAGUGGACGUAUACGGUGUGACGCCUGCCCGGUGCCGGAAGGUUAAUUGAUGGGGUCAGCGCAAGCGAAGCUCCUGAUCGAAGCCCCGGUAAACGGCGGCCGUAACUAUAACGGUCCUAAGGUAGCGAAAUUCCUUGUCGGGUAAGUUCCGACCUGCACGAAUGGCGUAAUGAUGGCCAGGCUGUCUCCACCCGAGACUCAGUGAAAUUGAACUCGCUGUGAAGAUGCAGUGUACCCGCGGCAAGACGGAAAGACCCCGUGAACCUUUACUAUAGCUUGACACUGAACAUUGAGCCUUGAUGUGUAGGAUAGGUGGGAGGCUUUGAAGUGUGGACGCCAGUCUGCAUGGAGCCGACCUUGAAAUACCACCCUUUAAUGUUUGAUGUUCUAACGUGGACCCGUAAUCCGGGUUGCGGACAGUGUCUGGUGGGUAGUUUGACUGGGGCGGUCUCCUCCUAAAGAGUAACGGAGGAGCACGAAGGUUGGCUAAUCCUGGUCGGACAUCAGGAGGUUAGUGCAAUGGCAUAAGCCAGCUUGACUGCGAGCGUGACGGCGCGAGCAGGUGCGAAAGCAGGUCAUAGUGAUCCGGUGGUUCUGAAUGGAAGGGCCAUCGCUCAACGGAUAAAAGGUACUCCGGGGAUAACAGGCUGAUACCGCCCAAGAGUUCAUAUCGACGGCGGUGUUUGGCACCUCGAUGUCGGCUCAUCACAUCCUGGGGCUGAAGUAGGUCCCAAGGGUAUGGCUGUUCGCCAUUUAAAGUGGUACGCGAGCUGGGUUUAGAACGUCGUGAGACAGUUCGGUCCCUAUCUGCCGUGGGCGCUGGAGAACUGAGGGGGGCUGCUCCUAGUACGAGAGGACCGGAGUGGACGCAUCACUGGUGUUCGGGUUGUCAUGCCAAUGGCACUGCCCGGUAGCUAAAUGCGGAAGAGAUAAGUGCUGAAAGCAUCUAAGCACGAAACUUGCCCCGAGAUGAGUUCUCCCUGAGACUUAGAGUCUCCUGAAGGAACGUUGAAGACGACGACGUUGAUAGGCCGGGUGUGUAAGCGCAGCGAUGCGUUGAGCUAACCGGUACUAAUGAACCGUGAGGCUUAACCUU